rnacentral:sRNA from 1 species
AGCAUGCCCAUGGACAAGGUUGCGUGCUAUGUCGUGAGCCGAAUUCCCUGAGCCAACGAUGACGACAUCCUUGCCCACAUAUUUCUCGGCUGUGCUGUAUUCCGCCGCGUGUUGGACGACGCCCUGGAACAGAUUGCGGUCCGAUAAGUUGGGGAAGCUUGGGCUCUCUGGGGAUAUUAGGAAGCCGGUCGAUAUGACAAUGUUCUUGGCUUCUACUGUUUCUUCUUCCUUUGUUUCUACAUCCUGGAUCACCACCUUCCACAGACCAGCGGUCUCAUCCCAAUUGUUUCUCACUACCUUGACUCCACAGAAUAAUGGCAGUUUGAGCGCCUCGACAGCGCUCGAAACGUAUCUUGUGAAGUCUCGGCCAGGUAGAUAUUCCGGAUAAUCUUCAGGGAUAGGGAAUCCUGGCAAAGCUACCAUGAGCUUGUUAUGAUGAAUGGUCACAUAGUCUUUUCCGUUACCCGACCAGUUACCGCAAGCGACAGGGUAGGUUUCAAAAGCGGCAACAUUCACCCCAAUAGAGUCGAGCAUGAUAGUAUUCGCUAACCCACUGCAACUGGCCCCAAUUACGACGACAUCCAAGACGCCUUGCAGGUGUGGCAGACCUUGCGCUUGAGCCUUACCUCUUUGAGAGGCUGGAACUGAUGACGGGGUUUUCCGUGGAAGGGUUUCAAACGGGUGUUCUGUGAGAGAAACAACGUCGGUAGACAGUACCCAGAUCUUCCAUUGGCCACCUUCGGGGAUCAGCUUGACAAGGCCAAUAUUGUUGGAUUUGGGAUUGUCAGUGGUGAAACAGAAGGGCACAUCUAGGGAUGCCAAAGUCGGAGAAAGACGCUCGAAUUUCGGUUCAAUCCCGAGUCCAUACUCUUGCUUAGAGGUAAAGACCGUGGGCUUCCGGGUCUCGGAGAGUGUCUUCCACGCUGCAACAAUCUUGUCUCUCCCGGACAAAGUCCGCUUGUCGAAAGUCAGGGUCAAGCUGUCUUUCCAGAAACAGCCAUUGCAGAAGAGAUUGCUAAAGGCUUCCCAAUCUUGUUUGCCUACAGCCCUAGAGAAAGAAUGCAGAAAGGCCUGGGCUUCUCCAGCAGCAUUCAGGCUUUGUUCAUUCUCCAAGACAGGCACCGUGGGAAUAUACGAUGGCAGCUCGGCGACGGGAGCGCGGACACGUUUCUCGUAUUUUGUUGCCAUCUUGGGCGAUUCGGGGCUUGCAGUUUAAUAUGAGCUGGGCGUUAAAUUGUGUUCGUGGUGACUUGGGAACGAUUCCGUAGCGAAUAACUACCUCUAGUCCUGGUCUCCACUGGAGAUAUAUAUAACUCACAGGGACAGAUAGCAAAAGCGGCUCGGAAAGAAACCCCUGUUGAGAUUGAUAAGCUGACUGACAAAUACUUACUGAGAGAACACUAAUCUGUAAUAACAAAAGAGGUA